rnacentral:lncRNA from 1 species
GUUUCCCCAGUUCUUUUAAUUUUUUGUUUUAUUUUAUUUUCAUUUUUUGAGGCAGGGUCUGGCUAAGAUGCUGAGGCUGGCCUCAAACUUGCAAUCCUCCUGCUUCAGCCUCCUGAGUCACCAGGAUCACAAGUGUGUACACAGCUGUACCCUGGGCAAUGUUCUAUUUCUUCACCUGCAUGGUGUGUCAUGGGAAUUUUUGUGUUAUGUUUUAUGUUUAAGCACUUUUGUCUGUAUUCUGUUUCCCAAUUUAAACAUGCAUCCAAAGCCUUAAAAAUAAAUAUAUACAAGGGCUGGGGUUGUGACUCAGAGGUAAAGCACUUGCCUAGCGUGUGUGAGGCACUGAGUUCGAUUCUCAGCACCACAUAUAAAUAAAUGAAUAAAAUAAAGCUCCAUCAACAUCUAAAAAAUCAUUUAAAAAUAAAUACAUAUGUACAUGCAUAUAUACACACCUACAUUCAUGUCCCCUGCCUGUUUUCAUUCUGGUAAUCUAAACUACAGAAAUAAUCACUCCGUCUGGCAAACUUUAAUGCACAAAGAUGUUCACUGCAGCAUCAUUAUAAUAGCCCUGUGUUCUCACUAGUAUUAAAUACUGGAAUCCCGCAUGGCGUGUCUGCAAUGUGGAAAGUUAUUUAGCCAUUGGAAAGUCUGCCCAAAGACUACUUCGUGAAAUAGGAAAAAUGCUCACGAUCAACGGGGGAAAUGAGGAGGGAAGGAGUAGAAUAUAAAUCAUAUGUACUAAAUUAUUAAAAUAAAAACUCCCAAUAGACACAUUACCUGUAGACUGUGAUCCUAAUACUGUCAAUGUGUGUACAUACGUGUGUACGUGUGUGUACGUGUGUGUGUGUGUGUGUGUGUGUGUGUGUGAAUAGCAAGAGCACUCACGUUAGGGAAUGGAAUUGUAGGAUCUGUUUUCCUUAUACACUUUUUUCUUGCUGGUGCUGUUUGUGCAGUGCUGGGAAUUGAACCCAGGGCUGCUCGACUGCUAAGCCACAUCCCCAGCCCCUGUUAUUUUUCAUGUUGAGACAGAGCUUCACUAAGUGGCUUAGGGCCUCACUAAAUUUCUGAGUCUGGCCUCAAACCUGGGAUGCUCCUGCCUCAGCCUCUGGAGCCGCUGGGACUACAGGAGUGAGCUCCGUGCCCGGCUGCUUGGCUUGGCUGUGCGGCUUCCCCCUCUCGACGUGGACAGCAGAUGCACCAGGCAGAGGGCCACCCUGCUGGGCUGGCAGGCAGCAUGGCCCCUGGCCUGUGGCUUCUCCCUCCUUCCCCUCUUACUCCUGCCUCCCUGGCCCGCCCCACUCCUCUGCUCCCUUCUCCCCACAGACACCCACGCGGGGAUAUUUCCAGAGUGUUCUCUCG